rfam:Cavia porcellus supercont2_9 genomic scaffold, whole genome shotgun sequence.
GGGGAUUUAGCUCAGCAACAUAAGUACCUGCCUUGCAAGCAGGCGGUUGUGAGUUCAAUCCCCA